UACAGAGACGUACUAAAUAAAAAGAAAAGCAAAAUAAAUCCUGACUUUGAAAACUAUGUAUUUCCGAAUCAUAGCAUCAUAGAAUUGUUUGGGUUGGAAAAGACCUUUAAGAUUAUUGGGUUCAACCAUAAACCUAACACUGACAAUUUCACCACUAUACCAUGUCCCUAAGUGCUGUGUUUAUACAUCUUAAACCUCCAAGGAUGGUGACUCAACCACUUCCAUGGGCAGCCUGUUUCAGUGCUUGAUAACCCUUUUGGUGAAGAUUUUUUCCUAAUAUCUGAUCUAAACCUCCAUUAGAAGAAGAGCCUUAAAGAAAUGGGAAAUUGGAUAGGAACUACCCCAGAGACUUUCUUCUGGAAAUAAAUCUUUACAUGACAGUUACAUCUUCAAAGUAAGUUUGCUUGGCCCUCUGAAAGAGUAUAUGAACUACAUUACCUUAUUUCCCAACUGCUUUUGUCCAAGAGAUCAGAAGAGUGAAAUAGGUCUUGGGAAUCUUGGGCAAAAGUACCCAUUAGUUUAUUUUAGGUUGUUUCUGAAUAGUUACUGGGGAAGAUUAGGCUGUUCUGCAGAGCAGUCCAAGGUGUGGUAAACACAACAUCUGGAAAGAAAGGAGAGGAAAUGGCACAGCUUACCCUGAGUCAUCCAGGCUGCAAAUCACAUAGUAAAAGGGAAAGAGAAAGAUCCUCCCCUGUUUCUCCCAGGGGAGAAGUACACUGAGAAAUCAGUGGUGAUUAAUAAACGUUAUUCAGCCAUGAGGUAGGAAGACAAGCAGCUUUCCAAGUAACUCCCUUUACUACAGUAGCCAAGUAGAAAGCAAGCCAACUCCUUUAAUUAGGACAUGAUAUCUUCUCGCUUGUUACCUCAUCAGCCAGCUGCAACUUAUCAUAACCUAGUUUAUGAGCUCCCAAGGAUGGGGAGUAUAUUUCACAGGAGGCUGAUGCAGUACUUGCUGCUACAGAACCUUUUCUGUAACUGACAUUGGAAACACUAUUACUACCACUAAACCUAACAGGAUAAUGUAGUUUGGAGAUGAUAUUACCCUCAGGAAAACCUAAGUAGAUACAAAGCUAACAAAUUAACCUGGUAAUAUGAAUGUAAUAAUAAAUCCUGAUAAAAACAAGACUAAGAAAAAAAUUUAUUUUCUUUUAGCUGAUGCAUUAGAUGGUCACAUGAGAUGUGAAAAAAAAACCCAAACCCAGGCUUAUGCAAGGUCAUGCUUACCCACAGAGUUAAUGAUGAGAAGGAAACUAACCCAAACAAAAACGCCUUCUGGAAUAGGAAUGUUGUGUGCACUGCAGAGUGCACUUCCCUAGCCUUUGAGACACAUUAUACAUUAUUUAUUGUCCAUGAAUAAUUUGCUAGAGUAGUCCCUGUGCACCUUCUGCUAUAUAGGCAGCACUGUUGCUGAGAACAUUUCACCACAGAAUGUUCACCUCCUGGGAUAUUUCCAGAAGUGAGCAGGUCCCUGGUCUGUUACAGAACUGGAGAUUUUCUCACUCUUUCCACAAAGGAAAACAGAGGGAACCCAAAAUGAGGUUUAAUUGAAAAUAAAUAUGGCUGCACACAAAUUUACUAGUUUUUUAGGUGAUCUUGUUGCUCUGACAGCCAGUCUAAAAUGUCUUGACUCAUCUGUCCCUUUCAAUCUUGCAUGAGAUAACUUUGACAUGUUGAAUCAUUCUUGCAUCCCUGGUCAAAUAGCGAAGACUACCUCUCCUCAUUAUGUAGGAGGUAGGAAGAUCAAAUAAACAUUUUUUCAGCUCUUCACAAGUCAUUGAGGUGCCUUCUUCUGGGAUUGGAUUCAUCCUUCCUCCAUUUAUUUUCUUCAGUUUCCCAAGUCAGGGACUUGAAAUUCUCAGGACUUCAUCAUCAUCCAGUUACCAAAACUUUCCUUAGGAGAUGAGCUCUAUCUGGCAUGAUCAGUAUAAGCUCUUCUAGCACCGUUUGGAACAAUGAAUAAAUUCUUACUCCCCUUGCAGCUUCAGAAGACCAAAGCUUUCUAACCUGUAUCCAAAACGGAAACAGCUUCACAACUGUUUCCAUGGCUAGAAAAUGAAUGGCUUCCCCUCUGAGGAAUGAUUUUAUCAUUGCAAAUAUUUUAGAACUGGUUUUUAUCACACAGUGUUUGAGACAGCUUACAAUAUCCAUUUGUUUUUCAAUAGUGUUGGAUAGUCAGCUCAGUUUUGAUAAGCAGCUAAUGAUGGAGGUGGGAAGCUGAGAUGAUUUCCAGAAGACCAAUUUGUCCUUUGUGGCUGUCACCAGGUCUCAACAUCUCUGCCAUGUAAUCUGACUGGCUUAGCAUUAUUUUAGGGCUUGACAGUGAUGCCUAACUUGGGAAAACAAGUGACCUGACGUAGCACCUUAUGGAGACAAACUUCUGCUUAACACACAGGCUAAGGCUUGAAAAAAAGCAUGCCUUUAAGUUCAUGCAAGCUUCUUAAGUUUACUGGACUGCUGAUUCUUGACUUUCUGCUCAAGAUUUUGAUAUUUCCUUUUGCUAAAUGAGCCUUCACUCUUGAGAAUUUUACUUAGUCGUUUUCACUUUGGUAUUCAUGUAACUCUUGUAUUUUUAUUGUUUUAUCCAUUCAUUGAUCUCAGAUGAUCAGAAAGUACUUAUUGUAUCAGAGCCUUUGAUAAUGGCACCAUAGGUAGUGCUGCAUCGUACUUUUUGUGAUAAAUCUUAAGAAGAGAAUGAGGAGAGACUUGAAAUGAAAAUCAGGCAGUGGCAGGUUUCUGUGCACAUUCCUGUGCCUAAAGAGACAUGGCAGAGGGAGCAUGAUAGACUUCUUUAGAAGUAGACUUAUGAUUCUGUGAUUCUUACCAAGUAAAACAUAUUACAACAACAAUAUGCCAAAAACAAACGUGUGGACCCUACGUGUAUAAAGUGAGAUCAACAAUCUUUUAAGUCAGAGAAAGAACAAAACUAUAUUUAAGGCAGGUCCUAUAACAACGUGUAUUCUUCAGUCAAACAUGAAAAAUGUUUGUGAUUCUUUUGAGAGUUAGAAGAAGGAACUUGACCUUCUUGUUUGCUAGCUAUGUGGCCUCAGGCUACUCUGAGUUUAUAUGACAAACACAUUAUGAGAAGGAAGAACAGUGUGAGUCCUGGUGGAGUUGUGUGCAUUCGUCAUGGGAAUCUAAAAAUACAGCACAUGAAAGAGCAAGUUGUAGUUUGUGACGCCUUGAAACUCUUGAGCUCUGCUAAAGAAAGCAGCAGAAAUGUAGGCAAUCGUUUGCUUCUUGAGAUAAUGUUCCCAACAAGCCAUCAUUCUUAGUGAGCCUCAUGUUGUUUUUCUGGGAACUUUCUCAGUGAUGUUGUGAACAAGAGAAGAAAAAUAUCAGCAAAUAGGUUGCAGACUGAGCAAGAAGGCAAAAUGUCCCUUUAAGGUGUAAAAUACCUCCUUUAUUUAAAAACACCUUUCCUCCACUUGAGAACUCUUAUUUGGUCUUGGAAGAGAAACAGAUCCCAAGAACAGUGCCUGAAGUCAUGCAAUACAAAAAGUACAACAGCAAAAAUUGCCAAGCUAGAGGUACAACAUAUUGCAAUCAGGAGAAGUAAGUAAACUUGGCUGAGAGGUUGGUUACAAGUCCUAUAAACAAACCAUUUCCCUCAAAGCACAGAUGCAUCCCUACACUGAGCUCAUGCAGUGGGACCUGUAAGGUCUUGGUCUCUGUUACUUAUACUUAAAACAGGAGGUGGUAGGGAAGGAACAGUGUUUCUUUCCCCCAUCCAUGGCUCUUGCCCAUGCUUUGCCCAAGGCAUGUCUGAAAACUUCCUUAGGGUCUAGUGAGGGCUAUGUUCAGAGAGUGACAACCCUCUUUGCUUUCAGGCAGCUUGGAGGUUGCAGACCUCAUACCCAGUGGUUUGACAUCUAACAGACAAAUUUGCCUUUCAUUUUCACUAAAGCCUGUAUUUUGGAUUUAGUGUCUAACCAGUCUCUAUAAAUGCCUUUUAGGAGUGCUUCAGAAAGGAAAGCUGUGGCAUUCUGGGGUUUUGCACAGAGUUGUACAGUACCUCUACCAGCUGUUACUUGCAGGAAGGGCUGAGGUACCUGCUCAUUGACAUGAACACCUCUUACCUGGCAGCACAAACCCCUAUACUCCUUUUGUGUCCAGCCUCUCUCAUCUUUGUUCAUGUCCUGGGAUGCCAGUUCCUCACUUCUGCCUGGACAUACUGUAGCACUCUGGAUGGCUGCUUUGGGAAGGCACUGCACUGUUAAGUUCAACAAGUUUCUUUUUCAUUCAUCUCUCCCCUCACACAAGACUUCCUGUGUAAACAAAGCAAAACAUUUAACAGGACCUGAAGACCAGGUUACAAGUGAAAUUGGUGUUAGACAUAACCCAAACCUACUCACAAUAGAAAUUCUUCCUAGGUUUUUUGAUGUUCCGCCCCCAAAGGCCCUACAGCAUCUUUUAGGUUUAUAUAGCAAAGGUGUUAAAGUCAUUAUAGUUAUUUUCUUUGUGUUGCUACUCAGUCCAGCUCGAACUACUAAAACAUUCCUAUUAUUUUACUAGAUAACUUUUGUGCAUAUGUUCUGUACAGCUCUAAUUCUCAGCUGGUUUAGUCAGCUUUCUAUAGACCACACCAGAUGCUAUUAACUACAGAAGGGUUGUGUUACUUUCCUGUGUUACAAGUUUAUUAAUGGUGACUGAGAUGAGGUCCCUUCUGGGCUGGUACCUACCUUAUCCACAAUAGCUGAGACAGCACAAGUUGUUUUAGGAUAGAAAGAGAAAAGCUGAAACUGGAGAAGAAGACUUGAAACUACAACGAGCAUGAUUGUAAUUACAAAAAGAGGAGCGAUUGAUGUGUAAACAUUCAAGCUGUAAAGGUUUUCUUUCUAAAAAUUUGGAAUAAACUCCUUUAACAUCUUGUAUAUGA